GACGAACGCUGGCGGCGUGCCUAAUACAUGCAAGUCGAACGAACCGCGACUAAGUGCUUGCUCUAAGUCAAGGCGAGUGGCGAACGGGUGAGUAACACGUGGGUAACCUACCUCAUAGUGGGGGAUAACAGUCGGAAACGACUGCUAAAACCGCAAAGGACAUAGGAUCACAUGAUCCAGUGAGGAAAGGUGGCGCAAGCUAUUGCGAAGAGAUCGACCCGCGGUGCAUUAGCUAGUUGGUAGGGUAAAGGCCUACCAAGGCGAUGAUGCAUAGCCGACCUGAGAGGGUGAUCGGCCACAUUGGGACUGAGACACGGCCCAGACUCCUACGGGAGGCAGCAGUAGGGAAUCUUCCGCAAUGGACGCAAGUCUGACGGAGCAACGCCGCGUGAGUGAAGAAGGUCUUCGGAUCGUAAAGCUCUGUUGUUAGGGAAGAACAGCGCAUAGAGUAACUGCUAUGCGUGUGACGGUACCUAAACAGAAAGCCACGGCUAACUACGUG
rnacentral:rRNA from 1 species